CAAGAGUGCUAGAGUCCCCAUCUCCGCUCAAAUGAACCUGGGACUGGAAAAUUGAGUUCAGCCUAGAAGGGGAGGAAGGGACCAGUUCCUAGCCAAUAAAACAGAUCUGAAAGGAUUCCGCCGUAAUAUAUUCCUAUAUUAAUCAUUUGACAUGCAUUCCUCUGCAUUCAAGAGAUAAUCUCCAACAUCUGGACUCCUGGUGUUCUGUGGCUGUUGGGCUGCAUGUCCUCUCAAGGAAGCCACUGGGACAAGAAAGGGUACAAAGGCAACACCAUCGAAGCGAGGCACUGGUUGUGGAAAGUGGCUGUGUCUCAUUUGAAUCUCAUUUCCACUUAAUAAUAACUCCAGAAGUUGCACCAACUUGAGAUCCUCCUUAGUUUCCUCUGGAAAAGCCAUGGGGAGAUGAUAGCAUCUCUGGAGUCUCUUUCGCUCUAGGAAAACACUUACACGUGGCAGCUACCCAGGAGGAUUGAAAAGGAAGGGUCAGAGGAAGCCAAGUGCGCCUAUGGCUGACUAAGGCAAGGGGCUGCGUCUUAAAGACAAAUUUCUCUGGGAUAAAAUGCUUUCUCUCUCUUCCCUUUGUUUCCCUACC